GAUGAAGAACGUAGCGAAAUGCGAUAAGUAAUGUGAAUUGCAGAAUUCAGUGAAUCAUCGAAUCUUUGAACGCACAUUGCGCCCGCCAGUAUUCUGGCGAGCAUGCCUGUUCGAGCGUCAUUUCAACCAUCAAGCCCCAGGCUUGUGUUGGAGCCCUGCGGCUGCCGCAGCCUCCCAAAACCAGUGGCGGGCUCGCUAUCACACCGAGUGCAGUAGUUUACUCUUCGCUCAGGGCGUGUGGCGGGUGCUAGCCGUGAAACCCCCAACUUCUCAAGGUUGACCUCGGAUCAGGUAGGAAUACCCGCUGAACUUAAGCAUAUCAAUAAGGGAGGA
rnacentral:misc_RNA from 1 species